CCGCAGGGAGUUGAGAAUCCAACAAUUGGACUGUGGUUAGGACCAGGUGAGGCACGGUGUGGGGGAAGGAGAUUAUGCUCUGUCAGAGAAGUGACUUUUUAGUUUUGUUUUCUAGCUUUUUUAUGAAACAGGAAGAGCCAAGCAAUGCCCCACCAAGGCUCUGAGUUUUCCAAGGGGAAGACCUUCCCCGGUGAUAGCCACAGCACCCCCUGAAAAGAGUGGAGGGCUUCCUUUCACAUUUUGCAGGGAGGGCGCAGGAAUCCGACACAAAGAAAACUGAAGUAUGGGUGAUCCAAUCCGCCCUCCCCCAAGUAGCCUUGCUUUUUAGCAUCAUGGGUUAGAAGUUUAUAAGAAUUCUGGAUCCAUGGUUUCCUACGGUCGCUUUUACAGAUCUUGUUAAUUUAUUACCCGUGGUUACACUUUUAAUGGAAAUCAUGAAGAAAUGGCAAAGGAAACAUGAGCUAAUUUUUUUCCAGUGACACAUUUCACUGCUAUUUAAAUAGCCGUUUUGCCAAACCAAACACAGCGCUUACAGCCAGCGGUGACACAUGAAGGAGAUCACUGUGGCCGAUCCUGCCUGCGGCAUCCAGAACAGGCGAGACUUUCACUCAGCUUCCCCAAGGGCCGGACGCCAAGAGGGGUGGAUUGUGGGGAGCUGGAGCCUGGGGCACAGCUGGAGUCUCAGAGCCGGGGUGCCUGCAGCUCCUACCCUCUCCUAGGCAGAGCUACUUCCCUCUUGCCUGGAGCCCACCCUUCACCCGCCGAGGGCCCCUGGGGUGACUGUUUCUCCAGCAGCUAGGGAGGCCCCCCAGAGCGGGCCACUGCCUGGCUUUCAGUACUGGAUGAUUUGCUCAGGCUUUUAACUGGGAACAUUAUCGGGUUGUAUAAAACCAGAGAUAGACUUUGGGAGACGCCGAGCCAGCUUUGUUUCGGUUCUGUGGUGGCAGUGGCCAUUACCGUGACCACACUUGCACAGGGCGCCUUUGUUGGGCAAACCCAGAGCCUCUGACUUCUCCUCAGAAACAUUGCCUCUGAUGCUUUCUUGCUCCUUGGCUCUGGGGCUGUGAUGUCACCAAGCAUUUAUUAUCUUUUCAAGAAGGCAUUUGAAAGCUGUGCAUUUGGCAAGAAAGAAGCCAGGGCUUGGGACGUUGUAGAAGAGGGAGCAGGCCCACAGAAGCUCUGGUGAUUGAUAGUUGGUAGCAGGAGGCAGCUUCUUCAUAGCGGCCAUGUCAGAACCUCCCCAGGACUUAAAAAUGCAGAGGGAUUGAGGAAAGCGAAGCACUUAGGGGCUGACGUCUGGCCCCUAGGCACCUUGGACCAGGGACCUCAGGGGCCCUGUGAGAGCCCUGUGGCACAGACAUUCUCAUGCUGUUCUCUGUACGCACAGAGCCCAGAGCCUGCCCAAGACUCCUGUGGAGGCUUCUCCCUGAGGCCGGAUGUACCAGCUUGGAAGCCCCUUGUCAGCCCUGUGGCUUUGGACCUCCUGAGACAAAUUUCCCCAAGUAGCCAUUCACUGAUCUGCAAUGACCUUUAUGCGACAUUUCUGGAUUAUUGAAAUCUGAGCACAAAGCCAGCCAGCCCUUCACCAGCCCAGGGCAUCAAGAAUCAGCAAGGAGCCCGAAGAAAUCCGUGCCUGGGAACAGUGGAAGGAAGUCACAGAGGUCAGGGCUGGGCAGCCCAACCGUCCAGAGACUCUGGGGAAUUUGGCUGGUGCCUCUAGAAGUGCUUCGAUUGGCUUGUUAAAGCUCCAUCCACAGAACUGGGUGCUCUUCCAGUUACCUCAGGUUACCUCAGGCCUGAAGCUCUCAUUGACAUCAUGAUCUUCAUGCACUGAGCCAGGCAGCAUCCAGCACAUACUAGGGCAGCCUGCUUAUAAUGGCAAUGCAUCUAUAGCCAGACACUCCUGGAGUCACAGUUUCCUGUCCACCACUACACACCUGUGCAACCUUAGGCAAGUCAUUAGACCUAAUGAAGACUCAGUGAAAUGGGAACAGUAACAUUUACGACAAAAUGCUGUUGUGAGCCUUCAAUAAGAUUGUGUAGGCUAAGCGCCUACCCCAGGGUCUAGCACAUAGGAUUCAAUAAGUGGUCAUUCUCAUCUCUACCCGUUUUUUUUUCCCAUUCCUUUAUAUACACCAGAACCAUGAUUCAUCCUAAACUUUGUGGACAGAGGACCAAACAGGCCCUUUCUGCCUUGAGGUGUCGGGAGCCCUUGCAGAGCACUGGAGAAGCCCCUAGAGCUGGAGCACCAGCCCCGACGGUGAGGAAAGAAGAGGAGGGCUGGUGGGGGGCGGGGAGCGGGGCUUCUCAUCACCUUGGACAGCUUAUCCUUAGGCCCAGGCAGUCCCAAAGCCUGCCUCAAAUCUCCCACUCCAUUAGACCUCAGCGAAGGGCCUGCAAGAACGAACAGAAACACAGGCACCGGGGGAAACAUGGUGCUAGGCCUCUCUGUGCCUCUAUUUUCUUACCUAGGAAAUAAGAAGUUUGGACAGAUGGUGUCCUAUUAGCACCCUCCAUAUCCACCCUCCUCUCCUUAUAACCUCCUCCCACCGUUUCCCACCACCCUUCACCCAGACAAAUCAUGCUUAUAAAGAGGGAAGGACUGGGUCAUAGCUUGAGAAUUUUACUUAAGUCCUUUCUGUGGCUCUGACCUCAGGCCCUCAAGUUCCUCCUUUCUGAGCCAGGACUGGGGUUUGGGUAGGGGGACCACAACCCUAAAUAUCCUGGAGGACUCUGAUACUAUUCUCACCCUUGUCCCUUGUGGGUUUCUGUCCCUCUGGGGUUUGUGGAAGGUCUUAGGCCACAUCCCAAAGUUCCUGGGUUAAAAGUAGAUACAACUCCCAGAACCUUAGGAAUGAGGGUGAAAAAUAAACAGCCUCAAACCUUG